AUUGAACGCUGGCGGCAUGCCUUACACAUGCAAGUCGAACGGUAACAGGUCUUCGGAUGCUGACGAGUGGCGAACGGGUGAGUAAUAUAUCGGAACGUGCCCAGUUGUGGGGGAUAACUACUCGAAAGAGUGGCUAAUACCGCCUACGACCUUAGGGUGAAAGCGGGGGAGCGCAAGACCUCGCGAAAUUGGAGCGGCCGGUAUCAGAUUAGGUAGUUGGUGGGGUAAAGGCCCACCAAGUCGACGAUCUGUAGCUGGUCUGAGAGGACGACCAGCCACACUGGGACUGAGACACGGCCCAGACUCCUGCGGGAGGCAGCAGUGGGGAAUUUUGGACAAUGGGCGAAAGACUGAUCCAGCAAUGCCGCGUGCAGGAAGAAGGCCUUCGGGUUGUAAACUGCUUUUGUACGGAGCGAAAAGGCCCUUUCUAAUACAAGGGGCUCAUGACGGUACCGUAAGAAUAAGCACCGGCUAACUACGUGCCAGCAGCCGCGGUAACAC
rnacentral:rRNA from 1 species